rnacentral:rRNA from 1 species
UACAGAGGCCCCGAGCGUUAUCCGGAAUUAUUGGGCGUAAAGGGUGUGUAGGUGGCAUUGUUAGUCUUUCGUUAAAGCCCCGGGCUUAACCUGGGAAGUGCGAAAGAAACGGCAAAGCUUGAGUAUGUGAGAGGUAAGCGGAACUCAUGGUGUAGGGGUGAAAUCCGUUGAUAUCAUGGGGAACACCAAAAGCGAAGGCAGCUUACUGGCACAUUACUGACAUUGAAACACGAAAGCGUGGGUAGCGAAUGGG